UCCGGGUUCGUAUAUCGGCUAGUAUGGCCGCCUCUCACGCGGCAGAGACGGGUUCGAUUCCCGUAUCCGGAA
rfam:Melampsora larici-populina 98AG31 unplaced genomic scaffold MELLAscaffold_6, whole genome shotgun sequence.